AAAUCCAGAAAUCAGAACAAAAAUCCAGAAAGAAAGAAAAAAAAUCAAGAAAUCCAGAAAGAAAGAAAUCAAGAAAGAAUGAAAGAAAGAAUGAAGAAAGAAACCAGAAAGAACAAAAAUAAAAGAAGAAAGAAAGAAAAAAAUCAAGAAAUCCAGAAAGAAAGAAAGAAAGAACGAAGAAUGAAAGAAAGAAAAAUCAAGAAUCCAGAAAGAAAGAAAGAAAGAAAUCCAGAAAGAAAUAAAAAAUCAAGAAAGAAUGAAAGAAAGAAAUCCAGAAAGAAAUAAAGAAAGAACGAAGAAUGAAAGAAAGAACGAAAAAUCAAGAAAGAAAGAAAUGAAGAAAUCCAGGAAGAAAUAAAGAAAGAAAAAAAUCCAGAAAGAAAGAAAGGAAUGACCACACUGCUACAGUUCACGGUGUGGACUCCUCUGAUCUGAAGUGUUCCUCGACAGGGAAACUACCGUGUUCAUUAUUCUGGGUUUCGAGAAAGACUCGAGGAAAUGAUUAGGAAUCAUUUACCCGCUGUGACGGACAGCAUAUCUGACGCGGCGUCUCUCACGCAGGUUUAAUAUGUAAAGAGUGGCUUUUCAGUGCAGGGAAACAUUUACAGACACGUGACCUACACACGCAGCAGAUUAGACAACGCCGGAGUUUCAUGUAAACUGAGUGACUCUUUUAAUAGCUGAAUAUUAGUGCUGUAAACCUCAGGCUUCCACACAAGGCGACAGAUUCUUAAAGCAGCGAGACGAUAUUCACGACACGAUGCGAUUCACUGGCCUCUGCUUCGGCGUGAGAACAACCCUGUUUAUAAUGAUAAAUAAUCGAUGUAUAAUCAAUAAUAAUCGGGUUAUGUUUUGUUACCUAGCUUCAUUUAGUACCAUUUAAAUGGUCUGGGACGUCAAUUCCACACGGACGUUCUCGCUGUGGUCGCUGGGACGACGGUUGCUGCGAUGUCCUUGGGACUGCGAUUACCACAUGCAGUUUUGCACUCGAGUCUCCUCUAGUGAACAGUGGACUAGUUCAUCGAUCUUUACACCCCUACUGACUAUUACGCGAAAUUAGACUCGAGACUGAUAAAUAAACGCAACCGAAACAUCUAUCCAACGAUCGCAAAAAGGAGUUCACUUUCUAAAACGCUCAAAAAUAUCACAGUCGAUUUUUUAUCAUCGCACAACCACGUCUUAACACUUAAUAUAUUGACAUGCAUCGAGUCGUCUAAUCAAAGCACGGCCACGUAAAAAUAUGCCCCCCCCCCCCCCCACCACACACAGACACACUCAAACACACCAUAAAGAGCCCUCUGUACGCCCGUGUUACAGGUCACAGAGCUGCAGUCGCUCUACACUGUACAUGUAUUCAGACGGUAUUAAUAAACAGGGCUGUGAAAUACCGUGCUGCGACUAUCCCGCCGCAUUCUACUCUCCUGAUCCGCCUCGUCACGUCUCUAAAGCCGUAGAAUCACUUGUCUGAAUAUCUUCAACUCAUCUGUUCGAGGCUCGUAUGCAUGUCGCAUAUCGUGUUUUGCAGUACAGUACCAUUUAUGAUGAUUAAGUAAGGAAUAAAACACUUCGAGGCACGCCGUUAUAGGAAAAUAAAAUCAACGACGCGGAUUAUUUUCCAUUAAGGGCAUGUCCCGUAGUGUUUUAUUCCAAUUACACCAUAACGUUUAAAAGGUUUUUUUUUUUACGCCUUAUUAAAGAACGACGUACAUUUACAGUUAUCUUUAAUGUUGCGGAAUAUUUAUUCGUUUAUUUAUUUUCCAUACAUUUGGAUAACUGUAGCUACCUUCAUUUGCAGGUCAAAGCAGACCUUCGUGGCUGAGCCCAGAGGAAUGCAACGCUAAAGGGGCAUUAGAAGUGUUUUUCCUCAAAGCCCAGGAAAAUUUAAUGUCCAAAUUCAUCAAACUGAGGUUGCCAAUAGGAAAGUAGGGAGAGUUGAUCGAUAAUUUAUAAUAAUAAUUUUUAGUUUAGUUCUACACGUCAGCCCUUUUGCUUCAUUUCUACGAUGGCUCAGAUGUACGCCCUAGUCGAUUUUGAGUUUUGACUAUUUGCGAAGCACGUUAAACUCUGUCUAGUUCACCGUGCUCCGUGGGCGGGACUUUUUUUUUUUGCCGUGUCAUCAUUCAUAUCAGAGUUUUCUUUCUCUCGAAACCCGAGCCACGACUUGCAGAGUUUUUGCACUUUUCGAGUUUUUUUCGAGGAAAACUACUCGAAUUGGCGAAAUUGCAAUUGCGUGAAAUUCUUUCGCAGUGGUGUUUGUUGGAGAAAACGAGAACUUCUGAGCUGUAUUCACGUUCACGAAGACGGCUUUGGCCGAACGCGCGUUGUGAUGAUGUCACGCGACGCGUCUCGGCCCAAACCUUUGGCCGUAAACUUCGAACGAUUGCAAGCUCCUCCGAAUGUUGCUUGAUUUUGUGUGCAUUUCUGUGGGCGCCAAAGCACACUAACUUCUUCAUAAAUCUAACCUCUUAACUGACAAACUUAACAUUAGAAUGUACAAAAUGACAGGAUCACAUGUACAGUCUCCUCCGAAACUAUCGGAACGGCGAGGCCAAUUCAUAUUGUUUGUGUUGUACACCAAAGACAUUUGGGUUUGACAUCAAAAGAUGGAUAUGAGACGAGAGUUCAGGAUUUCAGCUUUUAUUUCCUGGUGUUUACAUCUAGAUGCGUUCAACAGCUUAGAACACAGGGCACAUUUUGUAUCAGACCACCCAAUUUUUAGGUGAGCAAAAGUAUAGGAACAGACAAGUCUUAAAGGAAAUAACGUAAUAUUUGGUUGCGUAUCCCUUGCUUGCGGUAACUGCAUCAAUCCUGCGACUCACUAACAUCAAACUGUUGGUUUCUUCUUUCCUGAUGCUUUUCCAGGCCCUCUUUCAGUUGUUGAGCUACUGUGUACAGUAUCAUCCACACCUAGCUCUAAUGUCUUUAGCGUUCAGACACUUUUUUUUGUUUGUUUGUUUGUUUUGGUUGAUAAAUUACAUUUCAGGUUCACAAUUCUUCACGACAGAACCUAGGAAUCGAUUAUUUUUCCACAUAGCUAUCAGUUACCUCAUUGUACUUUUCUGACAGGAUUACAGGUACACUACAUAUAACCAUAAAAGUCCUGUGAAGCUGAUUAUCUUACACCAUACUCUUUCGUCCUGUCAUAAAAGCUUGGGUUUGAACACGGACAAGGAUUUAACCCUUAAACGACUUUUUUUUUUUUUUUUUAAUCUUAUUCUAGUCUGAAAAUGUGAAUAUUUAUUAUUUAUACACAGUAGACGGGGAGAGAAGACCUGAAAGCCUGAAGCAGGCUUGAGAAAGUGAACUGAAUUCCUUUCAGCUACACACACACACCAAAAAUGUAGUUCAUUUACAAUAAGUUUUAUAAAAGAUAAACUACCUUUUUAAAAAAAAAAAAUUAUUAUUUUUAAAUUACCCAAUCAAUUAACACUACACUUGUAGUUGCUACACAGAGCAUUCCACUAAUUACACCCGCAGGAGAGGGGAGGAAGCAUUUAAUUAAGAUUUUAACCACGCCAAAGACAUUAAAAAUAAUAAAAUACGGGUUUCCUACGGAUUAUAAUCAGAACAUAAUUUUAAUACGUACUGUAUAUUUUUCCUCAGUCCUACCAGAAAGCAAGAGAAAGUGUAAAAUUACAGUUUGGUACACCCCUACACUGGAACAUACCAAGUCAGUGUGAAUCAUACUCCAGUCAGAGAGGACGAUAUAAAGGGAAUUCUAUUAUUAUUAUUAUUAUCAUCAUCAUUAUUAAGAAUUAAUAUUAAAAGUGCAAUUCGUUACGGAUUCGUGUAACUAAUCGGAGUUAAAAACGAACAAGCAGUUCAUUGAUGAAUUUAUUAAAUGCCAAACGCGUCACUCACCUUCUACGUAAAGAGACAUUUUCUCUGGAUAAUUUAUGACUUCUACAUGAGACAUCCUUGUCCGAGUCCUUGUUUGGAAUAAAUCUAUGUUUAUUAAUAAUAAAAUCCUUCUUGUUUGGUCAGGAUGUUAGAGUCAUUCUCCAGUGACAGCUCCACCAGAUCAGGCGACGCUCCUAACUUUGGGUUAAACCUUUUAAACACAUGCCUCUCUUUGUUUUCCCUCCUCCGCCCACUUGUGAUGAAGGAGAAGGAAGGACAGACACCGACCUUUACACGGUUUUUAUUUAUUUAUUUAUUUCUCAAUAAGUGCAAAGGAAUGGGGACAGUCUGUAAUAAACCGCAAGCGGAUGAGGUGUAUUGCCUCGAGUCCCAGCUGGCGCGUGUACAGGCUGCGGCACGUCGCCAACCGCAAUUACUCCUCGCUUUCCCCUCGGUACAUGCGGCUCCGUCCCAAACACCACGGUACUCCCUAUGCGCGCGCACUAAAAUAGUGCGACUUCGAAGCGCCGCCAUAGUGCACUACACGUCAAGCACGUAGCCGUUUGGAAUUCACCCUGCGUCACCGCGUAACAGCCAAUCGUUUCCCCGCGCUCACUUCCUUGUUCGCUUUAACCACGCCUACAUUUAAACUCACGGCCAUCCAAAGGACACGUAUCUCAAACAGAGAUAACAAUUACGGCCCUGAUAACACAUCAGGGACACCGGUUGUGUUAUAUCUAACACAUGUAAUCAGAUUUUUUUUUUUUUUAUCGAAUAGAAGAGUUUAACUGCCAUGACGGCACCGAAAUCAUUCACGACUCAUAAUGUUUAUCAAACAUCAACAUCAUCAUCAUUAUCAUCAUCGCACCAAAACGGCAAGAAUAAGUGAUAUGACCUUACUCUUGAAGGGCUGAGGCUGCUGAUUUUAACACAGAGAUCCCGAAACUCAGAGCAGUGCUAAUGCUAAGUCAUUCCACUCGCAUCCUCCAGAUGAUGUAC
ensembl:lncRNA